rnacentral:ncRNA from 1 species
CUAGGCUCGGCCUGUCACUGCUUAUUCAGUGAUCGGGUUUAGCAGCUCGAAAC